CGAGGGUGUGCGGCAUUCUGAUCCCAAAAGGAUCGGAACCGCACGGAAGAGCACAUCCUCAGUCGCACGACGCACUAGCUCAAUGGCAGAGCAGUCAACUGAUAAUUGGCAGGUUGCCGGUUCGACUCCGGCGUGGUCUCCCACCACAAGCGAAAGCCUCUUCCCGACGACAUCGCGACAGUGUCCUAAUCCCUGACCUCGCAGGAGGAAUCAGGGCACGCGCCGAGCCCGCAAGGCUCGGUGGGUGUUCACGCGCCGGUAGCGGUAGCGGAGAGACCGGCCAGUCUCUCUUCGACGUGAAAGCGGUGGAGAAGCGGUCGUCGUAACGCGUGGUGCCACGGCACGGCACUGGGCAUGGUGGAUACCGUCGAGAGGCGGUGGACACGCCGCAAACCCGGAAGGGAAUACGGCGCGCAAAAGGCCACCGGCAGUGGGGAAGUAGUCUCAUUCCCC
rnacentral:sRNA from 20 species